UGGGCCUGUAGAUCAGGGGUAGAUCGCUACGUUCGCAACGUAGAGGCCGCGGGUUCAAAUCCCGCCGGGUCCAU
rnacentral:tRNA from 1 species